GCCAGGCGUGGUGGCACACACCUGUAAUCCCAGUGGCUUGGGAGGCUGAGGCAGGAGGUUUGCAAUUUCAAAGCCAGCCUCAGCAAUUUAGCAAGACCUUAAGCAACUCACCAAGACCCUGUCUUAU
rnacentral:sRNA from 1 species